rnacentral:piRNA from 1 species
UAAACUGCGAAACAGGUGAAGAAUCAACCC